UACGUAGGGUGCGAGCGUUAAUCGGAAUUACUGGGCGUAAAGCGUGCGCAGGCGGUUCGUGAUGUCUGGUGUGAAAGCCCCGGGCUUAACCUGGGAAUUGCAUUGGAAACUAGCGGGCUGGAGUGUGGCAGAGGGGGGUGGAAUUCCACGUGUAGCAGUGAAAUGCGUAGAGAUGCGGAGGAACACCGAUGGCGAAGGCAGCCCCCUGGGCCAACACUGACGCUCAGGCACGAAAGCGUGGGGAGCAAACAGG
rnacentral:rRNA from 1 species